rnacentral:rRNA from 1 species
UACGGAGGGUGCAAGCGUUAAUCGGAAUUACUGGGCGUAAAGCGCACGCAGGUGGCUGAGUCAGUCGAUUGUGAAAGCCCUGGGCUUAACCUGGGAAUUGCAGUCGAUACUACUCAGCUAGAGUAUGGGAGAGGGCAGUGGAAUUCCCGGUGUAGCGGUGAAAUGCGUAGAUAUCAGGAGGAACACCGACGGCGAAGGCAGCUUACUGGGCCGAUACUGACGCUGAGGAGCGAAAGCGUGGGGAGCAAACAGG